AUUGAACGCUGGCGGCAGGCUUAACACAUGCAAGUCGAACGAGCGGCGGACGGGUGUGUAAUGUCUGGGAAACUGCCUGAUGGUGGGGGAUAACUACUGGAACCGGUAGCUACUACCGCAUACCAUCAGAUGUGCCCAGAUGGGAUUAGCUAGUAGGUGGGGUAAUGGCUCACCUAGGCGACGAUCCCUCGCUGGUCUGAGAGGAUGACCAGCCAAACUGGAACUGAGACACGGUCCAGAGUACUACGGGAGGGAGCAGUGGGGAAUAUUGGACAAUGGGCGCAAGCCUGAUGCAGCCAUGGCGCGUGUGUGAAGAAGGCCUUCGGGGUGUAAAGCACUUUCAGCGGGGAGGCGUUACUCGCAGAAGAAGCACCGGCUAACUCCGUGCCAGCAGCCGCGGUAAUAC
rnacentral:rRNA from 1 species